rnacentral:misc_RNA from 1 species
CAACCCUCAGGACCCCGUUUCGCGGGACCUGGCGUUGGGGAUCAGCCCGCAGCCCUCGCGGCCGGCGGCUGGCCCCUAAAUCUAGUGGCGGUCCUCCCGACGACCUCCUCUGCGCAGUAGUUAACUCGCCUCGCAGCUGGAAAGCGGGACGGCCACGCCGUAAAACCCCCAACUCACGCAA